rnacentral:ncRNA from 1 species
GGGAACAGCACGGUCGCAACUCUGACAGUGCCACAGUCACGGGCGUGCCGCUAUCGGUCGUCCGUGCUCGUUACGUGGCUCGGGAUUGCGAAAGUGU